rnacentral:rRNA from 1 species
UAGGGAAUAUUGGUAAUGGGCGAAAGCCCGAACCAGCAACGCCGCGUGUGCGAUGAAGGCCUUCGGGUCGUAAAGCACUUUUUGAGAAGAUGAUGAAGGACAGUACUCUCAGAAUAAGUCUCGGCUAACUACGUGCCAGCAGCAGCGGUAACACGUAGGAGACAAGCGUUAUCCGGAUUUACUGGGCGUAAAGCGCGUGCAGGCGGUUUGGAAAGUUGGAUGUGAAAGCUCCUGGCUUAACUGGGAGAGGUCAUUCAAAACUUCCAGACUAGAGAGUGGUAGAGGAAGGUGGAAUUCCGGGUGUAGUGGUGAAAUGCGUAGAUAUCCGGAGGAACACCAGUGGCGAAAGCGGCCUUCUGGACCAUUUCUGACGCUCAGACGCGAAAGCUAGGGUAGCAAACGGGAUUAGAGACCCCGGUAGUCCUAGCCGUAAACCAUGUAGACUUGGCGUUGGUGGUUAAUAUCCACCAGUGCCGUAGCUAACGCGUUAAGUCUACCGCCUGGGGACUACGAUCGCAAGAUUA